AAUAGAUACCCGGGUAGUCCACGCCGUAAACGAUGAAUACUAGGUGUCGGGGGUAUUACCACCCUCGGUGCCGCAGCAAACGCAAUAAGUAUUCCGCCUGGGGAGUACGGUCGCAAGAUUAAAACUCAAAGGAAUUGACGGGGACCCGCACAAGCAGCGGAGCAUGUGGUUUAAUUCGAAGCAACGCGAAGAACCUUACCUAGACUUGACAUCUCCUGAAUUACUCGUAAUGGAGGAAGCCCUUCGGGGCAGGAAGACAGGUGGUGCAUGGUUGUCGUCAGCUCGUGUCGUGAGAUGUUGGGUUAAGUCCCGCAACGAGCGCAACCCUUAUCGUUAGUUGCUACCAUUAAGUUGAGCACUCUAACGAGACUGCCGCGGUUAACGUGGAGGAAGGUGGGGAUGACGUCAAAUCAUCAUGCCCCCUUAUGUCUAGGGCUACACACGUGCUACAAUGGCCGGUACAACGAGAUGCAAACCCGUGGAGGGGGAGCCAAACUUCAAAGCCGGUCCCAGUUCGGAUUGUAGGCUGAAACUCGCCUACAUGAAGUCGG
rnacentral:rRNA from 1 species